rnacentral:rRNA from 1 species
GAGUUUGAUCAUGGCUCAGAUUGAACGCUGGCGGCAUGCCUUACACAUGCAAGUCGAACGGCAGCACGGGAGCUUGCUCCUGGUGGCGAGUGGCGAACGGGUGAGUAAUGCAUCGGAACGUAUCCUGGAGUGGGGGAUAACGUAGCGAAAGUUACGCUAAUACCGCAUAUUCUGUGAGCAGGAAAGCGGGGGACCUUCGGGCCUCGCGCUCUUGGAGCGGCCGAUGUCGGAUCAGCUAGUUGGUGAGGUAAAGGCUCACCAAGGCGACGAUCCGUAGCAGGUCUGAGAGGAUGAUCUGCCACACUGGAACUGAGACACGGUCCAGACUCCUACGGGAGGCAGCAGUGGGGAAUUUUGGACAAUGGGGGCAACCCUGAUCCAGCCAUGCCGCGUGAGUGAAGAAGGCCUCGGUUGUAA